rnacentral:rRNA from 1 species
GGCGAAAGCCUGACGCAGCCACGCCGCGUGGAGGAAGACGCUCCUAUGGGGUGUAAACUCCUUUUCCAGGGGAAGAACCCCCCUCGUGGAGGGGCCUGACGGUACCCUGGGAAUAAGCACCGGCUAACUCCGUGCCAGCAGCCGCGGUAAUACGGAGGGUGCAAGCGUUGUCCGGAAUUAUUGGGUGUAAAGGGUGUGUAGGCGGACCUGUAAGUCAGGGGUGAAAGCCCGCGGCUCAACCGUGGAAUGGCCUUUGAUACUGCAGGUCUUGAGUGUCGGAGAGGUCGCUGGAAUUCGUGGUGUAGCGGUGAAAUGCGUAGAUAUCACGAGGAACACCAGAGGCGUAGGCGGGCGACUGGACGACAACUGACGCUGAGGCACGAAAGCGUGGGGAGCAAACAGGAUUAGAUACCCUGGUAGUCCUUUUCCGUAAACGAUGGAUGCUCGAUGUCGGGGCCACUGGCUUCGGCGUCUAAGCUAACGCGUUAAGCAUCCCACCUGGG